UACGUAGGGACCGAGCGUUGUCCGGAUUCAUUGGGCGUAAAGAGCUCGUAGGCGGCUUGUCGCGUCGGCUGUGAAAACCCGCGGCUCAACUGUGGGCGGGCAGCUGAUACGGGCAGGCUGGAGUUCGGUAGGGGAGACUGGAAUUCCUGGUGUAGCGGUGAAAUGCGCAGAUAUCAGGAGGAACACCGGUGGCGAAGGCGGCUCG
rnacentral:rRNA from 1 species